UGCGUAGGUGGUUUCUUAAGUCAGAGGUGAAAGGCUAUGGCUCAACCGUAGUAAGCCUUUGAAACUGGGAAACUUGAGUGCAGGAGAGGAGAGUGGAAUUCCUAGUGUAGCGGUGAAAUGCGUAGAUAUUAGGAGGAACACCAGUUGCGAAGGUGGCUCUCUGGACUGUAACUGACACUGAGGCACGAAAGCGUGGGGAGCAAACA
rnacentral:rRNA from 1 species